rnacentral:rRNA from 1 species
ACGAGAAUAUUCCGCAAUGGGCGAAAGCCUGACGGAGCGACGCCGCGUGAUUGAUGAAGUGCUUCGGUACGUAAAGAUCUUUUAUCGGGGACGAAGUUUAUUGACGGUACCCGAUGAAUAAGGGGCUCCUAACUCUGUGCCAGCAGGAGCGGUAAUACAGAGGCCCCAAGCAUUACCCGGAAUCACUGGGCGUAAAGGGUGUCUAGGCGGCCAUAUUAGUCGUUCGUUAAAUCCGCGGGCUCAACCUGCGGGCUGCGAGCGAAACGGUAUGGCUCGAGGGCGUGAGAGGUGCACGGAACUCAUGGUGGAGGGGUGAAAUCCGUUGAUAUCAUGGGGAACACCAAAGGCGAAGGCAGUGCACUGGUACGUUCCUGACGCUCAAACACGAAAGCCAGGGUAGCGAACGGG